rnacentral:rRNA from 1 species
GUCCUAGCCGUAAACGAUGGAGACUAGGUGUUGGGCCCAUUAGGGUUCAGUGCCGUAGGCAACCCGCUAAGUCUCCCACCUGAGGAGUACGGCCGCAAGGUUGAAACUCAAAGGAAUUGACGGGGCCAGCACAAGCGGUGGAACAUGUGGUUCAAUUCGAUGCUACGCGAAGAACCUUACCCAGGCUUGACAUGCUUGAAGUAGGAACCUGAAAGGGCGACGACUCGUAUCCAGUCGAGAACUUGCACAGGUGCUGCAUGGCUGUCGU